rnacentral:rRNA from 1 species
GGGGUAAUAUUAAUAAAUAAAAUUUAAUAAAAGAAAUUUUAAUAUUAAAAAUAAAAUAAUGGGGGUUAAAGUAUUUUUAAUAGAAAAAAUUUGAAAUUUUAUAGUUAAUUAGUAUUGUGAAAGAAAUUUGAAAUAAUUUGAAAAUAAAUUUUUUUAUAAGUAAAUUUAAUUUAUUGUAUCUUGUGUAUCAGAGUUUAUUAAUUUUUUUUUAUGUUAAUAAAUUUCUCGAAUUUAAAAGAGUUAAUUAAUUAUAAAAUUUAUUGUUUCAUAAAUAUUUUAAAUAAUUAAUUAGAAAUGAAAUGUUAUUCGUUUUUAAAUAUAUCUAGUUUUUUAAGAAAAAAAUUUAAUUUUAAAUUAAUUUAAAAAAUUAAUUAAUUAUUUAAUUAAUUUUAUUUAAUUUAAACUAAAAAUUAAUUUAAUAAUUUAAGGGAUAAGCUUUAAAUUAAAUUUUUAUAAUUAUAUAGGGGAUAAUAUUUAAAAUUUAAUAUUUAAAAUUUUUAUGAUUUAAAUUGUUAAUAAAUUUUAGUUUAUUAUAAAUUAUUUUAAAUAAGUUGAAAAUUUAAAUUAAAAUUUAAUAUUUUAUUAAAAAAUAAAUUUAAAUUAGUUAUAUUUAGUUAUAAUGAUGAAAUUAGUAUAUAAAUUUUUAUAAUUUAAAAUAUUAUAUUUAAAAUUUAUAUUUAUGAUAAUUAUUUUAAAGGAAUUCGACAAAAAUUUAUAUUCACCUGUUUAUCAAAAACAUGUCUUUUUGGCUAUAAUUUAAAGUCUAAUCUGCCCACUGAUUUAAUUAUUAAAGGGCUGCAGUAUAUUGACUGUACAAAGGUAGCAUAAUCAAUAGUCUCUUAAUUGGUGACUUGUAUGAAAGAUUGGAUGAAAUAUAAGUUGUCUCUAAAGUAUUUAAUUGAAUUUAAUUUUUUAAUUAAAAAGUUAAAAUAUUUUAAAAAGACGAGAAGACCCUAUAGAGUUUUAUAAUUAAUUAAUUUUAAUUUAUUUGUUAAUUUGAUUAAAUUAAAUUUAAUUAAUUAUUUCAUUGGGGUGAUGGAAAAAUUUAUAUAACUUUUUUUUUAAUAAAACAUUAAUUUAUGAUUUUUUGAUCCAAUAAUAUUGAUUAUAAGAAAAAAUUACCUUAGGGAUAACAGCGUAAUUUUUUUUUUUAGUACUUAUAAGAAAAAGAGUUUGCGACCUCGAUGUUGGAUUAAGAUAAAAUUUAAAUGCAAAAGUUUAAAAUUUUUGAUCUGUUCGAUCAUUAAAAUCUUACAUGAUCUGAGUUCAAACCGGUGUAAGCCAGGUUGGUUUCUAUCUUUUAAUAUUUUUAAUAUUUUAGUACGAAAGGAUUGAAUAUUAUAAUUAAAUUAAUUUUUUUUGAAUAUUAUUAAUAGUUAAUAAAAUUGUGAAAUAAAUUA